rnacentral:misc_RNA from 1 species
AAGUCGUAACAAGGUUUCCGUAGGUGAACCGUGCGGAAGGAUACGAUUAAUGCGUUGGUCUCCGGGCCCGGAACCUCCAACCCUUUAGUUGGUGCACAAAACCAAUUGUUCGCUUUUGGGCCGUGGGACCGCCCGCGGGAGGGACUGCCGGUCUUAGGCCCGGGCAUGCGCCCGCCAGAGGAAAACCAAAUCUUGUUUUCAAACCGUACGUCUGAGUAAAAACUGUUAAAUCAAUCAAAA